rnacentral:misc_RNA from 1 species
AAGUCGUAACAAGGUUUCCGUAGGUGAACCUGCGGAAGGAUCAUUAACACGUAUCCAACGUUAAACAACCCUGUGAACCUUGAACGUGCUCCUGCAGCCCCAUGAAAUCAGCAAUCCCUGGUAAAUCAUUGUUGACCAGCUUUUGAGUCAGGGACCUCUGCCGAAACGGCUGUUCAGUACCGAGCGCGGUGUAAGCGACCUGGCAUCCCCAAGCGAUCAGUGUCUGAAAGUGUCAUUGAUUGUGUAAGGAUAACGCAUCACGGUUGCCAGAGGUCGAUCACCGGCCGGCAGACAUGUCACAGGGCUUUACGCCCCUUCAUUCACCCCUUGCCUAAUCAAGCCCCGCGGAAACGCCGGGCAAAAAAAUCUGAACAACUGUUAACAACGGAUCUCUUGGCUCUC